AGAAUUUAUAAGAAUCCACAAAUAGUUAACUCCACUACGCGAUUGAAUGAUUUUGACGUUUGUGGUUCAACGUAUAUAGUAAUUCAUAAUAGAAAUAUAUCAUAAUGACAUAUAAUAGAACAAUAUCAUACUGACGGGAUCUUUUAAAGUACAGAGUCACGUUAUAAGAACAAAAGAAAUACAAAAAGUCGCAUAUACAAAACAAACCACCAAAAUGAAAGCCAAUACAAACACAUUGACGAGAUGUAUAAGUACCGAGUCACGUCAAACGAAUAUCACAUAAAACCA
rnacentral:lncRNA from 1 species